GAUGAAGAACGUAGCGAAAUGCGAUACUUGGUGUGAAUUGCAGAAUCCCGUGAACCAUCGAGUCUUUGAACGCAAGUUGCGCCCGAAGCCAUUAGGCCGAGGGCACGCCUGCCUGGGCGUCACACGUCGUUGCCCCCCCAUCUACUCCUUCGGGAUUGCGGGGGGCGGAUGAUGGCCUCCCGUGCGCCUCGUCGCGCGGUUGGCAUAAAUGCCAAGUCCUCGGCGACACACGCCACGACAAUCGGUGGUUGCGAAACCUCGGUUGCCCGUCGUGUGCGGUCGUCGCGCAUCGAGGGCUCGAAAAAAUUGCCGGGCUCCGGCUCGGCUUUCAACGCGACCCCAGGUCAGGCGGGGUUACCCGCUGAAUUUAAGCAUAUCAAUAAGCGCAGGA
rnacentral:misc_RNA from 1 species